AAAAUGACUCUCGGCAACGGAUAUCUCGGCUCUUGCAUCGAUGAAGAACGUAGCGAAAUGCGAUACUUGGUGUGAAUUGCAGAAUCCCGUGAACCAUCGAGUCUUUGAACGCAAGUUGCGCCCAAAGCCAUUUGGUUGAGGGCACGCCUGCCUGGGUGUCGUGA
rnacentral:rRNA from 1 species